GGCGGUCGGACGGUCGCGCCCGCUUUCGCGGGUGAGGAAAGUCCGGGCUUUACGGGAACACGAUACCGGAUAACGUCCGGCAGAGGCAACUCUCGGGAAAGUGAAACAGAAAGCAAACCGCCAAGCCCUUCGGGGCGGCAAGGGUGAAACGGCGCGGUAAGAGCGCACCGCUUUUGCAGCAAUGUAAAAGGCGACGGAAAACCCUAUCGGAAGCAAGACCAAAGGGGCUUGCACUUUGUGCAAUCAAAAAGGCGUUCCCGCCUUUGCUCAGGGUAGGUCGCGUUAAGACGUUUGGCAACAAACGUUUCAGAUGAAUGACCGUCAAAACAGAACCCGGCUUACAGACCGCCC
rnacentral:RNase_P_RNA from 1 species